rnacentral:lncRNA from 1 species
CAUUCUAUUAUUGAGUUUCAGAAACUUAAAAGCAUAGUCUCAGUGGUUAAGUUUCUCUCUGUUUCUAGUGAACUAUCGUAUUUCUUUGUCUUAUUUGAUCAAAUAAUGACCUUUAGGCACCUUCCCCUUCCUAUAUUUUCCUCUUUUGUGGCAAGCAUAUCUUUUUGAGUAAGGGCUAACUUUUAUUUUCUUUCUCUUUAUUCCAUUAUAUGCCUUUAUACUGCAUAGUUAACUUUACUGUCGCUUAUUGCAGGAUGCUUCACAGUCUGAAGAGAUCAAUACUGCAGAAGUUUAGAAAGAUGUGUGAAAUGAAAGAAUGUUGAAUAUACUUCUAUUAUGGUUGUUUGUUUUGGUGUUUAUAAGCAGGAAGCUUUUCCUUGUAUAGAUCAUA